GAACUUUCAUAUUCAUCAGAAUCUUCUGGAGGCCUUGGUAACACACAGCUGCUGAACUCCACAUCCAGAGUUUCUGAUCCUGCUGGUAGAGAAGAGCCCCCAGAAUAUGCAUCUCUAACAAGUUCCCAGGUGAUGCUGGACCACCCUUUGAGAAACACUGCUCCAGAAGGUCAACUGAGGAAGUGAACUGAAGGGAUAGGGGACGGGGGAGUGUUUUCGGCAGAGGGAAGCACUGUGUGAAUGCCCAGAGUGGAGAUAGCACUGGGUCGAGCAAAUAUUCCUGGAACCGAAAGAUCUGAGGCAUGGCCAGAGGUUAGGGGGUAGGGAUAGAGUCACGCAGGGUGAGGCCAGUGACAGGUGGACACAAACCCUGGCCCUGCCAUCUGUGAUUCUGACUGAGAAAAAAUGACUCUAAGGGAGGAGACCACCCUUCAUAUCGUCUUAUGCCCAAUUUCUGCCUCCAAAGAAAGAAGAAGUAAAAACUAAAAGGCAGAAAUGAAAUCCACAGGCAGACAGCCCAGUGCCGCACCCUGGGCUUGGUAGUUAAAGAUUGGCCCCUGACCUAAUUGGUUCUGUUAUCUCUAGAUUACAGACAUUGUAUAGAAAUGCACUGUGAAACUCCAUAUCUUGUUUUGUUCCGAUCUAAUUACUGGUACAUGCAACCCCCAGUCAUGUACCCUCUGCUUGCUCAAUGAAUCGCGACCCUCUCACAUGCAUGACCUUAGAGUUGUGAGCCCUUCAAAGGGACAGGAAUUGCUCACUCAAGGACCUUGGCUCUUGAGACAGAAGUCUUGCCUAUGCUCCCAGCUGAAUAAACCCCUUCCUUCUUUAACUCGGUGUCUGAGGAGUUUUGUCUACCGCCUGUCCUGCUACAACUCCACAAAGCAAAAGAGCCUGCUCCUCUUCACAAGGAUUGGCCACAGCAGUAUUGUCCAAUCAGUAGGUUUCUUAACUCUCAGAUUAUGAAAAAUCCAGGCUGACUUAUUAUUAAAAAGUAAUAACAGUCUAUGCAGGGUUAACAUUUUAUAGCUUUCAUGACACUUUUGCAAGUGUUAUCUCAUCCAAUUCUUAAAGAAAUCCUGGAAUGCAAGAAGGCCUGGCACUCCUACCUUUGUUUUGCCAGGUCUAGAACCCCAUUAUCAGUCUUCUGGUCUGGUCAUCUUCUACUAUAGCUCAUUACCCUCCCACGUUUACUUCAACCCACAAAUGGAAAAGUCCAGUCCUCUAGAAAAUUCUCAUCAAAGUGCUGAGAAAAAUACAGAAGAAACCAGCUCUCUACAUAGGUGGUAACAUACACACCUGCCCAUAGCAUUUAUACAUGUGUCACUGGGGACUAUUCCAGAAGGCCCUGGCUAUGUUUAGACAACUAUUUGACUCCCCAGAAAUUCAAUCUUAAGGCCAAGCAUGAUGGCUCAUGCCUAUAAUCCCAGUACCUUGGGAGGCCAGGAGAGAAGGAUUGCCUAAUGUCAGGAGUUCAAGACUAGCCUGAGCAACAU
rnacentral:lncRNA from 1 species